rnacentral:rRNA from 1 species
UACGAAGGGGGCUAGCGUUGCUCGGAAUUACUGGGCGUAAAGGGCGCGUAGGCGGCACUGUUAGUCAGGCGUGAAAGUCCUGGGCUCAACCUGGGAACUGCGCUUGAUACGGCAGAGCUAGAGGAUGGAAGAGGGUCGCGGAAUUCCCAGUGUAGAGGUGAAAUUCGUAGAUAUUGGGAAGAACACCGGUGGCGAAGGCGGGUCUCUGGGCAAUAACUGACGCUGAGGAGCGAAAGCGUGGGGAGCGAACAGG